rnacentral:lncRNA from 1 species
GUACUAUUCCAUUUGAUAAACAUAAAAUCAUACAACGCAACAUGUAUUGUUACAUCAUCUCCACGACUUGUCCUCCUCUUCCUCCUCCUCUUUCUCCUCCUCCUCCUCCUCCUCCUCUUCCAUCACCAUCAGUUACUACAAAAGAUUCUACAUGUAGUAUCGCCACGUUCAGUUGUCUCAUCACCACCACCAGCUUCUACUUCUCCACCAUCGCCACUCAUAAUCUCCUUAUAUCUUCCCAACAUAUCUUCCUUUUCCUCUUCCACCUUUCGUGGUAGUUCUUCUCCUCCAUCAUUCAUGGCAACACCCUUCAAUCCCUCUACAAAUUGUAUUUUUUCAUAAGUUGCAUGAUUUUUAACAUUCAGCUUUCACAUUCAAAUUUAGUACUUUUUGGUUUAUUCUAUUUGAAAAAUAGAGUAGAAUUGUCUUUUUACGAUCUCUUUUUCCGAGUUUAAGAAAAA